rnacentral:rRNA from 1 species
GGAUUAACGCUGGCGGCGUGCCUAACACAUGCAAGUCGAGCGGCAGCGAGUUUUACACUGAAUUCUGGAAGCUUCUAGUUGAAAGAGAAGAUUUAUUCAAGAAUUUUGUGUAAAAUGUCGGCGAGCGGCGGACGGCUGAGUAACGCGUGGGAACGUACCCCAAAGUGAGGGAUAACGCAUCGAAAGGUGUGCUAAUACCGCAUAUGGUCUUCGGAUUAAAGCCUUCGGGCGCUUUGGGAACGGCCUGCGUAAGAUUAGAUAGUUGGUGGGGUAAUGGCCUACCAAGUCGACGAUCUUUAACUGGUUUGAGAGGAUGAUCAGUCAGACUGGAACUGAGACACGGUCCAGACUCCUACGGGAGGCAGCAGUGAGGAAUCUUCCACAAUGGGCGAAAGCCUGAUGGAGCAACGCCGCGUGCAGGAUGAAGGCCUUCGGGUUGUAAACUGCUUUUAUAAGUGAGGAUUAUGACAGUAACUUAUGAAUAAGGAUCGGCUAACUACGUG